rnacentral:tRNA from 1 species
GGGGAUUUAGCUCAGUGGCAGAGUGCUUGCCUAGCAAGCACAAGGCCCUGGGUUCAGUCCCCAGCUCCG